rnacentral:rRNA from 1 species
AUUGAACGCUAGCGGGAUGCCUUACACAUGCAAGUCGAACGGAGUGGCGAACGGGUGAGUAAUGUAUCGGAACGUGCCCAGCCGCGGGGGAUAACUACGCGAAAGCGUAGCUAAUACCGCAUACUAUUUGAGCGGCCGGUAUGGGAUUCGGCAGGUGGUGGGGUAACGGCUCACCAAGGCGACGAACCGGAGGUGGUUUGGGAGGACGAACAGCGACACGGGGACUGAGACACGGCCGAGACUCCUCCGGGAGGCAGCAGUGGGGAAUUUUGGACAUUGGGGGAAACCCUGAUCCAGCCAUCCCGCGUGUGCGGUGAAGGGCUUGGGGUUGUAAAGCACUUUUGGCAGGAAAGCGGUACCUGCAGAAUAAGCACCGGCUAACUACGUGCCAGCCGCCGCGGUAAUUC